GACGAACGCUGGCGGCGUGCUUAACACAUGCAAGUCGAACGGAAAGGCCCUGCUUUUGUGGGGUGCUCGAGUGGCGAACGGGUGAGUAACACGUGAGUAACCUGCCCUUGACUUUGGGAUAACUUCAGGAAACUGGGGCUAAUACCGGAUAGGAGCUCCUGCUGCAUGGUGGGGGUUGGAAAGUUUCGGCGGUUGGGGAUGGACUCGCGGCUUAUCAGCUUGUUGGUGGGGUAGUGGCUUACCAAGGCUUUGACGGGUAGCCGGCCUGAGAGGGGGACCGGCCACAUUGGGACUGAGAUACGGCCCAGACUCCUACGGGAGGCAGCAGUGGGGAAUAUUGCACAAUGGGCGGAAGCCUGAUGCAGCAACGCCGCGUGCGGGAUGACGGCCUUCGGGUUGUAAACCGCUUUCGCAUGUGACGAAGCGUGAGUGACGGUAAUGGGUAAAGAAGCACCGGCUAACUACGUG
rnacentral:rRNA from 1 species